rnacentral:rRNA from 1 species
UACGAAGGGGGCUAGCGUUGCUCGGAAUCACUGGGCGUAAAGCGCACGUAGGCGGAUCGUUAAGUCAGGGGUGAAAUCCUGGAGCUCAACUCCAGAACUGCCUUUGAUACUGGCGAUCUUGAGUUCGGGAGAGGUGAGUGGAACUGCGAGUGUAGAGGUGAAAUUCGUAGAUAUCGGGAGGAACACCGGUGGUGAAGGCGGCGACCUGGGUCGAGACUGACGCUGAGGCGCGAAAGCGUGGGGAGCAAACAGG